GACAGAGGUGCCGAGCGUUAGGCGGAAUCACUGGGCUUAAAGCGUGUGUAGGCGGAUGGGUAAGUACCUUGUGAAAUCCCACGGCUCAACCGUGGAACUGCUCGGUAUACUGCUCGUCUUGAGCCAACUAGGGGCGACCGGAACAAACGGUGGAGCGGUGAAAUGCGUAGAGAUCCGGAGGAACACCAGUGGCGAAGGCGACACGCUGGGCCGUACCUGACACUGAUGCGCGACAGCAUGGGGAGCAAACAGG
rnacentral:rRNA from 1 species